UGCAAGUCGAGCGGAAACGAGUUAUCUGAACCUUCGGGGAACGAUAACGGCGUCGAGCGGCGGACGGGUGAGUAAUGCCUAGGAAAUUGCCCUGAUGUGGGGGAUAACCAUUGGAAACGAUGGCUAAUACCGCAUAACGCCUACGGGCCAAAGAGGGGGACCUUCGGGCCUCUCGCGUCAGGAUAUGCCUAGGUGGGAUUAGCUAGUUGGUGAGGUAAGGGCUCACCAAGGCGACGAUCCCUAGCUGGUCUGAGAGGAUGAUCAGCCACACUGGAACUGAGACACGGUCCAGACUCCUACGGGAGGCAGCAGUGGGGAAUAUUGCACAAUGGGCGCAAGCCUGAUGCAGCCAUGCCGCGUGUGUGAAGAAGGCCUUCGGGUUGUAAAGCACUUUCAGUCGUGAGGAAGGUAGUGUAGUUAAUAGCUGCAUUAUUUGACGUUAGCGACAGAAGAAGCACCGGCUAACUCCGUGCCAGCAGCCGCGGUAAUACGGAGGGUGCGAGCGUUAAUCGGAAUUACUGGGCGUAAAGCGCAUGCAGGUGGUUUGUUAAGUCAGAUGUGAAAGCCCGGGGCUCAACCUCGGAAUUGCAUUUGAAACUGGCAGACUAGAGUACUGUAGAGGGGGGUAGAAUUUCAGGUGUAGCGGUGAAAUGCGUAGAGAUCUGAAGGAAUACCGGUGGCGAAGGCGGCCCCCUGGACAGAUACUGACACUCAGAUGCGAAAGCGUGGGGAGCAAACAGGAUUAGAUACCCUGGUAGUCCACGCCGUAAACGAUGUCUACUUGGAGGUUGUGGCCUUGAGCCGUGGCUUUCGGAGCUAACGCGUUAAGUAGACCGCCUGGGGAGUACGGUCGCAAGAUUAAAACUCAAAUGAAUUGACGGGGGCCCGCACAAGCGGUGG
rnacentral:rRNA from 1 species